CUACGGGGUGCACCAGUGGGGAAUAUUGCACAAUGGGCGCAAGCCUGAUGCAGCCAUGCCGCGUGUAUGAAGAAGGCCUUCGGGUUGUAAAGUACUUUCAGCGGGGAGGAAGGGAGUAAAGUUAAUACCUUUGCUCAUUGACGUUACCCGCAGAAGAAGCACCGGCUAACUCCGUGCCAGCAGCCGCGGUGAAUACGGAGGGUGCAAGCGUUAAUCAGAAUUACUGGGCGUAAAGCGCACGCAGGCGGUUUGUUAAGUCAGAUGUGAAAUCCCCGGGCUCAACCUGGGAACUGCAUCUGAUACUGGCAAGCUUGAGUCUCGUAGAGGGGGGUAGAAUUCCAGGUGUAGCGGUGAAAUGCGUAGAGAUCUGGAGGAAUACCGGUGGCGAAGGCGGCCCCCUGGACGAAGACUGACGCUCAGGUGCGAAAGCGUGGGGAGCAAACAGGAUUAGAUACCCCGGUAGUC
rnacentral:rRNA from 1 species